GAUGAACGCUGGCGGCGUGCCUAAUACAUGCAAGUCGAGCGAACAGACGAGGAGCUUGCUCCUUCGACGUUAGCGGCGGACGGGUGAGUAACACGUAGGUAACCUACCUAUAAGACUGGGAUAACUUCGGGAAACCGGAGCUAAUACCGGAUAACAUUUCGAACCGCAUGGUUCGAUAGUGAAAGAUGGCUUUGCUAUCACUUAUAGAUGGACCUGCGCCGUAUUAGCUAGUUGGUAAGGUAACGGCUUACCAAGGCAACGAUACGUAGCCGACCUGAGAGGGUGAUCGGCCACACUGGAACUAAGACACGGUCCAGACUCCUACGGGAGGCAGCAGUAGGGAAUCUUCCGCAAUGGGCGAAAGCCUGACGGAGCAACGCCGCGUGAGUGAUGAAGGUCUUCGGAUCGUAAAACUCUGUUAUUAGGGAAGAACAAACGUGUAAGUAACUGUGCACGUCUUGACGGUACCUAAUCAGAAAGCCACGGCUAACUACGUG
rnacentral:rRNA from 1 species